rnacentral:rRNA from 1 species
ACCCCACUAUUAGCCCUCAAGUGAAACUCUAAGCACUACAGCUAAAAAGCUAAAACUUAAACAACAUGGCGGCAAGCUUAAUUUUCAGAGGAACCUACCAGAUAAAUGAUAACCCGCAAGAAAUUCUUACUUUAGCUAGAAGUUUACAUGUCGCCGUCUAGUAACCUUUCGAGAAGGUUACAAUUCACAAUAUGACAGGUCAUGACGUAGCAUAUGUUAAAGACAUAAGGUGGGUUACAAUAACAAAUAGUUUCCGACGCUUAUUUAAAUUAUAAGCUAAAGAUGGAUUUGAAAGUAAUUUUUAAAAGAAAUAUUAUAUGAAUAUUUUUGAGCUUGUGUACACACCG